ACUCCUACGGGAGGCAGCAGUGGGGAAUAUUGCACAAUGGGCGCAAGCCUGAUGCAGCCAUGCCGCGUGUAUGAAGAAGGCCUUCGGGUUGUAAAGUACUUUCAGCAGUGAGGAAGGUGGGUAUGUUAAUAGCAUAUUCAUUUGACGUUAGCUGCAGAAGAAGCACCGGCUAACUCCGUGCCAGCAGCCGCGGUAAUACGGAGGGUGCGAGCGUUAAUCGGAAUUACUGGGCGUAAAGCGCAUGCAGGUGGUUUGUUAAGUCAGAUGUGAAAGCCCGGGGCUCAACCUCGGAAUUGCAUUUGAAACUGGCAAACUAGAGUACUGUAGAGGGGUGUAGAAUUUCAGGUGUAGCGGUGAAAUGCGUAGAGAUCUGAAGGAAUACCGGUGGCGAAGGCGGCCCCCUGGACAGAUACUGACACUCAGAUGCGAAAGCGUGGGGAGCAAACAGGAUUAGAUACCCUGGUAGCGUAG
rnacentral:rRNA from 1 species